AACCUAGCACACCUGCGGUGUGUACCUGCGGAGGGAUCAUUACAGAGUGUAAAAACUCCCAAAACCCAUGUGAACAUACCUUUUUGUUGCUUCGGCGGGAUCGCCCCGGGCGCCUUGUGUGCCCCGGAGUCAGGCGCCCGCCGGGGGACCCAAACUCUUGUUUUUAACGAGUAUCUUCUGAGUAACGUUUUUAAAUAAAUAAAAACUUUUAACAACGGAUCUCAGAUCGGAAGAGCACAC
rnacentral:misc_RNA from 1 species